UAAUGCCUUGCGACCAUUCGUACGUCAUUAUUGUGCGUCUUUACACGAGAAACAUCGGUUUUGUCCACAAACUAGUGUGAGCAGAUGUUAAGUUAAAUAAUAAGCUUUAAUAACAAAUUUGCACAUGGUGGUUUAUCACACAGCGCCAAAAGGAAAAGAAAAUGGGUUCCGGAGAACAAAGUUUUUGAUGGUGGAUUAAAAGAGGGAAUUCUUAAAAGACAAAGCUCAGCAAGAGGAGGCUCUGAAGAAAUACAAGGAGAAGAAAACAGCAACAUAUCAGUUGUUGAAAAGAAAAACCAAAAAGGGUCAGCCCUUAACCUGCAUAUGGAGCUGUUGCUGCAAAAGAUUGAAGCUCAGCGCAAAUAAUUCAGUAUCAUCCAUAAAAUCAGACUGGAAUCACA